rnacentral:misc_RNA from 1 species
UUUGUACCGGACACUCCUUUCUGUUUUUAUUUGUUUAACAGCGUGCCUUUUAAUAGGCCUAAUGCAGGCUAGUUUCCAAGGAAUGUCGCAUUACACCGAGUGACUCUGCACCAGUUAGUGUCGAUUUGAAAAGUGAAUGAACCGAACUCAGGCAGCUUGAGAUUGAAAGCGGUACCUUCAAUUUCCGAUUAUGGCCCCACGACCUGAAGUGGGUUUUUUAUUAGUCGCCCAUGGCCUUUUGUUCCUGGCCGUCGUGACGUCAGCACUGGACAAGGGCGAGGUCCUGGACAUGUCCUAUGCGUUUGGCGACACCACCUUGUAUUGGCCAGGUCUCGGAUCAUUUGAAAUGGACAUUCUAUCACGGGGACCAUCGGGAGAUAUACCAUGGUUCGAGGCCAACUCCUUCUCAGGUGCAGAGCAUGGCGGGACUCACUUGGAUUCCCCGGCCCAUCUCUCUCAAGGCCAACUGCGCGUUGAUGCCAUACCAGUCGACAAGUUUGUCGGUCCGGCCCUUCGAGUCGACAUAGCUGACAAAGCCAAUGUGAACGAGGACUACCAACUGACGGCCCAGGAUCUACAAGACUGGGAAGGGGUCCACGGUAGGAUUCCGGACGGCUCCUUGCUCUUCGUCUACACCGGUUGGGGAGCCUUCUACCCGGAUCGCUUGGCUUACUUCGGCUCGGCACGCAACGACACCUAUCUGAAUGACCAAGGGGAAUCGCUGCUCCACUUCCCGGGCGUGGCGCCCGAGGCAGCCACGUGGCUGGUGGAGAACCGCAAGAUCUCGGGCCUCGGAAUCGACACGGCAUCCAUGGACUACGGACAGAGCACCGUUUUUAUGAGCCACCAGAUUCUUUUCGGGGCCAACAUUUAUGGUAUGGAGAAUGUGGCCAACUUGGAUCGCCUGCCUAACACGGGGGCUAAGGUGCACGCACUCCCCAUGAAAAUUAAGGACGGGAGCGGUGCCCCAAUACGCAUCACCGCCAUGUUGGAUGAGGAGUGUACCUCGGGGGCAGCGAUGCUGUCGCCAGCAAAAGCCGCUUUUGUUGCACUGCUGGGUUUGGCUUUGUUUGUUUUAAAGUACUAAAAGCCAUUUGCUGAUCGCGAUUUUUGUUUUGCUACAAAACAAUUACAUACAGUACUAGGAGUUAUGCUCUAUAGUUUUUACCCAUGGUUGUGGUUUUAAAGUUUACAAGUAAGUGAGCAACCCUUAAUUGAAUUUCUAGCUCGUACUGUUCCCUGUAGAUUUAAGGGAAUAUACAGUCGAACACCUUUAUAACAAGGUCCUUGGGACUUUACGAAUUACCUUGUUGUAACAGGUACCUUGUACUAAGAGUAACGGAAAACAAAGAGAAACAAAGACUUGGGACCUAAAGUUUUGCUUGUUAUAAGCAGUACGUUGUAUCAACAGUGCUCUUCUUAUCAGGGUUCGACUGUAAAUGCCAUACUUUUCGCUUGUGGUGGUGGUGGUGGCGCUGUUGAUCGCGCACUUUAUGAAUAGAUGUAUUUCCUUCAAAUAAUCAUGGUUUUUUUUUCAAUAUUACCAUCCUUAAUUUGUUACUUUUAGCAUACAAUUAAAAGUUUUAGUGUUGCAUUUUGGAUGAAACGCGAAAAAUUCAA